rnacentral:rRNA from 1 species
GGGGAAUAUUGGGCAAUGGGCGAAAGCCUGACCCAGCAACGCCGCGUGAGGGAAGAAGGCUUUCGGGUUGUAAACCUCUGUCCUUGGUGACGGAGGAAGUGACGGUAGCCAAGGAGGAAGCCCCGGCUAACUACGUGCCAGCAGCCGCGGUAAUACGUAGGGGGCGAGCGUUGUCCGGAAUUACUGGGCGUAAAGGGUGCGUAGGCGGCCGAUUAAGUUGGAUGUGAAAUACCCGGGCUUAACCUGGGGGGUGCAUCCAAUACUGGUUGGCUAGAGUGCAGGAGAGGGAAGCGGAAUUCCUAGUGUAGCGGUGAAAUGCGUAGAUAUUAGGAGGAACACCAGUGGCGAAGGCGGCUUUCUGGACUGUAACUGACGCUGUUGCACGAAAGCGUGGGGAGCAAAC